CCCCACAGCCGGCGGCGCCGACGCCUGAAUCGCCUCCAGGUGGCUGAUCCACUCCUGGCCGCUCAGGCAGUUCGAAAGCCACUCUGUUUUGGGUCCUCGUCGCCCUUCCACGUCUCCCGGAAGAGCAGCAGGGCCGCUGCGGGUCCGGGACCAGGUUCCCUCAACCUGGCCCCUCUCCGGGCCGACUGCUGAGGUGGGGGGCGGCCCAGGAGGGCGGCGAGGCCGCAGUGCAGCCAGUCCGGAGUCCUCAGGUUCACCGGUAGGAUUUUUCUGCUACCAUCAUGUCUUGGUUUGCUGAUCUUGCUGGAAAGGCAGAAGACCUUUUAAACAGAGUUGAUCAAGGAGCUGCAACAGCUCUCAGUAGAAAAGAGAACACCAGCAACAUCAUAUACAGCAAAAAUACUGACUCUUCUGAACUUAACCAGCAAAAUACAGAUUUGACUUACCAGACUGGGCCUAAAGCUACUUACAUUUCCUCAGCAGCUGAUAACAUUAGAAAUCAAAAAGCCACCAUUUUAGCUGGCACUGCAAAUGUGAAAGUGGGAUCCAGGACAUCAGUGGAGGCCCCCCAUCCUGUUGAAAAUGCAUCUGGUCCUAGGCCUUCAUCCCAGUUUGUUCGAAGAAAAAAGUCAGAACCUGAUGAUGAGCUUCUGUUUGAUUUUCUUAAUAGUUCACAGAAGGAGCCUGCUGGGAGGGUGGAAGUCAAACGAGAAAGGGGCAAGACACCUGUUCCUCAGAGUUCUCAGACAGCAAGUGUCAGUUCUGUGAACACCAGUGUAACCACCACCAAAACCAUUGAAGAAAAUCCUUCUGGGAGCCAAAACCAUGAAACCUCUAACUCUAAUAAUUCAGAUUCUGGCCAUGAAGCCCAAGAGGAUUCUUCAAAGGAAAAUGCCUCAUCAAAUACUCCCUGUGCUGAUCACAAUCCAGCACCUACUGAUGACGGCAAGUCACACGAACUAUCUAAUCUUCGACUGGAAAAUCAACUGCUGAGGAAUGAAGUUCAGUCUUUAAAUCAAGAAAUGGCCUCAUUACUUCAAAGAUCCAAGGAAACUCAAGAAGAAUUAAACAAAGCAAGAGCAAGAGUUGAGAAGUGGAAUGUUGACCAUUCGAAGAGCGAUCGAAUAACUCGAGAACUUCGAGCCCAAGUCGAUGACCUGACCGAAGCAGUGGCUGCAAAGGAUUCCCAGCUGGCUGUACUGAAAGUGAGGCUACAGGAAGCCGACCAGCUGCUGAAUACUCGCACAGAAGCCUUAGAAGCCUUACAAAAUGAAAAAUCACGAAUAAUACAGGAUCACAGUGAAGGUAGUAGCCUACAGAAUCAAGCUCUGCAAACCCUUCAGGAGAGACUGCAUGAAGCCGAUGCCGCUCUGAAGAGAGAGCAGGAGAGCUAUAAGCAAGUGCAGAGUGAGUUCACUGCACGGCUUAAUAGAAUGGAAGUGGAGCGUCAGAAUUUGGCAGAAGCAGUUACUGUGGCAGAAAGAAAAUACUCGGAGGAGAAGAGGAGAGCUGAUGAGCUACAGCAGCAAGUCAAAAUGUAUAAGUCCAACCUGGAAUCAUCUAAGCAGGAAUUAAUUGACUACAAGCAAAAAGCUACUAGAAUACUCCAAUCUAAAGAAAAAUUGAUUAACAGCUUAAAGGAAGGCUCCAGUUUUGAAGGCCUAGAUAGCAAUGCUGCUAAUAGCAUGGAGCUCGAAGAACUUCGGCAUGAAAAGGAGAUGCAAAGGGAGGAAAUACAGAAGCUGAUGGCUCAGAUACAUCAGCUGAGAUCUGAAUUACAGGAUAUGGAGGCUCAGCAGGUUAGUGAAGCAGAGUCAGCAAGAGAACAGUUACAAGAUCUGCAAGACCAAAUAGCUGGACAUAAAGCAUCUAAACAAGAACUAGAGGCAGAACUGGACCGCCAGAAGCAGGAAUUCCACUACAUGGAAGAAGAUCUGUAUCGAACAAAGAACACAUUACAAAGCAGAAUUAAAGAUAGAGAAGAAGAAAUUCAAAAACUCAGGAAUCAGCUUACGAAUAAAACUCUAAGCAAUAGCAGUCCGUCUGAGUUAGAAAGCCGACUCCACCAGCUAACAGAGGCUCUCAUCCAGAAGCAGACCAUGCUGGAGAGUCUGAGCACAGAGAAGAACUCACUGGUCUUCCAGCUGGAGCGCCUCGAGCAGCAGGUGAACUCGGCUGCUGGAAGUACUGGUCACGGCUCUUCUAUUAAUAUGUCUGGAGUUGACAACGGUGAAGGCACACGUCUGCGAAAUGUUCCUGUUCUUUUUAAUGACACAGAAACUAAUCUGGCAGGAAUGUAUGGAAAAGUCCGCAAAGCUGCUAGUUCAAUUGACCAGUUUAGCAUCCGCCUGGGAAUUUUUCUCCGAAGAUACCCCAUAGCACGAGUUUUUGUAAUAAUAUAUAUGAGGGAAGAGUUAUUCCUUUGAAUGAAAAGUUUUUAAGAAGAGAGGGAUGGGGGAAAAAAAGAGAAAAAAGUGAAUGGCAUCAGAAAGGAGUCAGAAUACACCCACAUCCAGGCUUUGCUACACCUCUGGGUCAUGAUUGUUCUGUUGACCUACACGCCAGAAAUGCACCACGAUCAGCCACGUGGCAAAUGAGCUGAACCCAGUUAUUUGAAUGAUUAGGUGUCUUUUUCCAGACUGCAAAAGGGCGAGUUGCCUAGAAUUCCUGAGAAGGGUGCACAAGAUUAUUUUAUCACUACUACAAGCUUUUAACUUUUUAAGUUAUUAUGUAAGUACUGUGCUACCUAAAUCAUCUUCUGAUUUUCUUCAGAUGGUAAGAGUUUCUGAAACGGACAGUAAUUUAACAAGCUCUCAGCUCUGCUUUUUCUGGCAUCAGUGGUUCAGUGCAUGUAUGUGCACACGUAGAGACGCUGGGUUUGUUCACCUCUCUGCAGACCGUUCUGUGUUUCAGGUGACACUCAUUGUGGGUUAUAAUCAGGGAAACUAAUUGUAUUUAGUGAUAUAAAUAAAAUGUUCUCUUUUUGAUAA